rnacentral:lncRNA from 1 species
AACAAGAAAGUAAGCUUUAUAAUUUCUAAUACCGCAUAGAUGAUGAGAACUUAGAAAUGCAUCAAAAUCAGGCAUUUCAAAAGUCUGAGUAUGUAGACCACAUAAAUGCACCAAAUUGGAACAACUCAUUCUGAGUAUUAGACAAUGUAAAAAGGUUUUUUCGUGCAAUAAGGAAAAUUUCACCUUCAUUAUCUUGAAUUUUCCUCAUCACACAGGAGCUUAACACCUAAGCUCACAGGAAAACUGAUCAAACGGAUAAAUUUACAGUAUUUCUCUUUAUUCAGCCAAUUGAACUCUAACUUGAUCUCAGCCCAUUCAAAAACAACUGAAAUGUCAAAGAUAUAAGGCUGAUCCCAAAAGUUUCCCAUGCAUACCUUGUUGGAGAUUAGAAUCGAGGAGUAAUCAUAUCUAACUCCCUGAGUUCCACGUUGUUGUCAGCUAACUUAAACGAAGUUCAUUCAAACUUCCGAUAGCUGAAUCUAUAUCAUCACCGCAUCCUUCAAGUACUUUCUCAAGAACUACACACAAACAGUUAACAAAGUCCCUAGCUAAAUUAACAAACGGAAAUGAAAUGAUCACAUACUAUUAUGCCAUACGAAUUUGGAAUAUGUGGAAAAACAACAUCAUAACGAAGAUAUAAACCAAUUAAACCAAGUAUCAUAAGCAAAAAAUCACAUUCAACAAAUAGUAAAUUAAACAGAAGUAGGAAUUUUUUCAAUUUUCGAAGAAAAAACAAAACCCAAUUCCUGAUAACAAUAUCGUUGCGUUUCACAACAGUCAUUCCAUCAAAGCUUCCAAUCUGUCAAUGCAUCGAUCAAUCAAUGAACAAUUAUAUAAAACAUAUACAUGUGUAGAUUAAGAAUGGAACCUGCCUGUCCAUGCAAGGGAAAAAAGCAAUGAGUUUCCCGAUCAACAGUGAAGAAGAUUGAUUGGAGGAGGCAGAGGAGACAAAAACGGCGUCGCAUGACCUUGGAAGAGAGGAAUGAACAGGAGAGGAAGAGGAACAACGGAUUUGCUUGGAAACGGGCGGGCUUAUCAUUGUUAAUUCUUGGAAAAAGGAUCUGUUCCUGCACAUUAUGGCAGACAAUUUAUAUUUCUCCUUGUCUCCUCUUCUUCUCUACCCUCACCAUUUCUCUCUUCCCCUAUCGUAUCGAUUGACCUACCAAAAUUCAAUAAAAGGAGAAGAAAGAAAAUUUUCUCCUUCGAUACUUUGUUCAGAUUGAACCGCUUUAUCUGAAAAUUUAAGAAAUUUUAUAAAUUUGAGGACUGAAAAUGAUGGAAUUAGGGUUUUUCCCGUACAUAAUUCAUUUCAUAAAUCAGUCUGCGAAUUAGAAGUAGAGAAGGAGAGAGGGUUUCCAUUUCCUCUACUAUACUUUCCUCUACUCGGCUUCCAUAAUUGUCUAUGCCCGAU